AAUAACACUACUGUGGCGAGACAAUCUCAGGUCUUUGUGUAGGUGUAUGUCAAGUUGUGAUGGCAGCGGUAGGCUGGACGCUCGUGUGUCUCCUGUCAGCCAUUUGUUGCAUUAGAAGGGCCAGCGGCUGGGCCUAUAUGAGGGAGGGGGACUGUCCCAACAACCAUCAGCCUGGCGACACCUGGCAUGAGGGGGGCCUGUUCUAGGUGCGAUUGUCAUGAGGAAGGGUACGCCUGUUACGGCUGCGGCUUUGUGAAUACUCCCACGAACUGCUACACCGACACCCCCCAUGCGACCGAUGUCUACCCCCUCUGCUGCCAGGUGCAGACAGUGUGCCCCGGGGACAAGGGCUUCGACCGUGCGAAACUCAGAUAAAAAUAGCACACAAUAACCUUCCCGGUGUGUUAGGUCAGGCUGUCGUUGAAUUCAAUGACAAUAAAUAUGUAUACACAGUAA